rnacentral:rRNA from 1 species
UACAGAGGUCUCAAGCGUUGUUCGGAAUCAUUGGGCGUAAAGGGUGCGUAGGCGGCGCGGUAAGUCGGAUGUGAAAUCUCGGAGCUUAACUUCGAAACUGCAUUCGAUACUGCCGUGCUUGAGGACUGGAGAGGAGACUGGAAUUUACGGUGUAGCGGUGAAAUGCGUAGAUAUCGUAAGGAAGACCAGUGGCGAAGGCGGGUCUCUGGACAGUUCCUGACGCUGAGGCACGAAGGUCAGGGGAGCAAACGGG